rnacentral:lncRNA from 1 species
AACGGGAGCUAUUGAUGGAGCAAACUUUUUACGACGUUGGACUUAGUUCGGUGACUUUCCUAGAUAUAACUCAGCUGGUCUUUCAUUUUAUUUUUUAUUUAGCUUCGAAUUUCGUAACUGAUUCAUUUUAUCUUUUGAUUGUAGCUAUGUGACCAACAGCGUGAGUUUCAGUGGCCGAUAUCUGACAGCAUGCCACCAAAAAGAGAGCAGUGGCUGGUGCAAGGUCAUCCCGAGCAUCGAAGAAAAGUCAGGCUAAGACACAUUCGGCUAUAGUGAGGGAGACACUCCAUCAGUAGUCAUCCCAAAAAUUGAACCCAUCAUCACACUGUCGGCUCUGAUAGUGCUUCCACUAGUUGAAGCACCACCUUUUCGAGGGGAAUCAAACAAGGAUGAUGAUGUUGCGGUCAUCAUACCAGCAUCGAUAAGGACAAUGUCGGCUAUAGCAUCAUCGAUAGGGGGUCGAACAUAAAUUGCACCUGAAUUAGAACCGGCCACCGCGGUGCUGAUGGUAACUCAGGCAUCCUCAAUAGGGCCGAUACUAUCUCGGGCACCCUCAAUGCCCAAAUAGAUGGUAGCCUCAAGCGAGCGACCACCCAUUGGAGAGCGGGGAAAGGCACCAACUGUCUCAACUGAUGACAGAUCGUCGAUGAGCUUCACAGUGCUCUUCAACAUUCAGAUUCUUACAGGUGAGUCGGCCUUGGAGAAUCCGAAAUUGAUCAAGUGACUCAUCGAAACUGUACUUCUCCCGACUAAUAGGAAGAGCAGGA